rnacentral:rRNA from 1 species
UAACGGGGAAGCUUGCUUCCGCCGACGACCGGCGCACGGGUGCGUAACGCGUAUACAAUCUACCUUGUACUGGGGUAUAGCCUUUAGAAAUGAAGAUUAAUCCCCCAUAGUCUCUUAGAGUGGCAUCACUUCUAGAGUAAAGGUUACGGUAUAAGAUGAGUAUGCGUUCUAUUAGUUUGUUGGUGUGGUAACGGCACACCAAGACUACGAUAGAUAGGGGCCCUGAGAGGGGGAUCCCCCACACUGGUACUGAGACACGGACCAGACUCCUACGGGAGGCAGCAGUGAGGAAUAUUGGACAAUGGAGGCAACUCUGAUCCAGCCAUGCCGCGUGCAGGAAGACUGCCCUAUGGGUUGUAAACUGCUUUUAUACAGGAAGAAACACCUCUACGUGUAGAGGCUUGACGGUACUGUAAGAAUAAGGAUCGGCUAACUCCGUGCCAGCAGCCGCGGUAAUACGGAGGAUCCAAGCGUUAUCCGGAAUCAUUGGGUUUAAAGGGUCCGUAGGUGGAUAAUUAAGUCAGAGGUGAAAUCUUGCAGCUCAACUGUAAAAUUGCCUUUGAAACUGGUUGUCUUGAGUUAUUAUGAAGUAGUUAGAAUAUGUAGUGUAGCGGUGAAAUGCAUAGAUAUUACAUAGAAUACCAUUUGCGAAGGCAGAUUACUAAUAAUCAACUGACACUGAUGGACGAAAGCGUGGGUAGCGAACAGGAUUAGAUACCCUGGUAGUCCACGCCGUAAACGAUGGUUACUAGCUGUUUGGACUUCGGUCUGAGUGGCUAAGCGAAAGUGAUAAGUAACCCACCUGGGGAGUACGUUCGCAAGAAUGAAACUCAAAGGAAUUGACGGGGGCCCGCACAAGCGGUGGAGCAUGUGGUUUAAUUCGAUGAUACGCGAGGA